rnacentral:lncRNA from 1 species
ACUGUAAAAUUCUGUUUAAAUACAUAAAUGUGGAGGGGAAAAUUCACAAGGGAUGUCUGACCAAUUUUUCUGAUUGCAAGGCUGCCUGGAAGACCUUGAUUCCCCUCUGGGCAGGGAUGAGUUUUGCAAAUUCUAUAUUUGUGGAGCAGGGUUUGUCCCCAGGGAAUAAAUGCCAUAAUCCUCUGCGCUGAGCUCCAAAGUCCUUUGCUAACACUUGGACAGGUGGAGGGAUGAAUUCACACAAGUUCAAGAUAUUUAUGUGCUGCUUUAAAAAUACACAUUGAAGUUCUAACAGGCCUGUGAAGUUUGACUUUUCAUUUUUAUAAAAGAAUUCUUUUAAAAUUCUUAUAAAAUCUGUGUAAGAUAUUUCAGAAGGUGGAGUGAUUCAGAGUGAAAUUCAAACCUAAAUCUAAAUUUUCUAGUGCAAUCACACCCAGGCUUAGCACAGGCCUGUUUUGUUGUUUUAUUUGUUUUUUUCCUGAGCUACUGCUGAAAAUGCCAAGCCAGCACGGC